AAGUCGUAACAAGGUUUCCGUAGGUGAACCUGCGGAAGGAUCAUUAUCGAAAUCGAAAGCCGAGGAGGCGAGGGAGAGAGGACUGUUGCCGGCCCCAGAGCGCGAGCACGUCCCUUCCGAGCGUCGUAGGCGUCACCCCUCUCACACCCGUGUGCACCAGCCGUAGGUCCCUCGGGACCUACGUACCCUCUCUUUAAACUCGUAUGUCUACAGAAUGUAUGCGUCGGUCGCGGACCGAUGGACCCUAUACAACUUUCAGCAAUGGAUCUCUUGGCUCUCGCAUCGAUGAAGAACGCGGCGAAUCGCGAUAAGUAAUGUGAAUUGCAGAUUUUCCGUGAAUCAUCGAAUCUUUGAACGCACCUUGCGCUCCUUGGUAUUCCGAGGAGCAUGCCUGUUUGAGUGUCAUCGAAAUCUCGAACCGAAGCCUUCGACCCCGGUCGGAGGCGCUCGGUUCGGAACUUGGGAGCCUGCCGGCGAAAGUCGGCUCUCCUCAAAAGCAUUAGCCGUGGGCGCGAGCCUCGCAUGGCACGGCCUCCUCGACGUCGUAAUGAUCGUCGCGGGCUGGAAGUGCGAGGCGUGGACCGACCACGCUUCCCUAGACUUGCGAGCCCGUUCUCCUCGGGGAACGGCCGCGCCCCCAUCGAUGCUUGACCUCGAAUCAGGUAGGACUACCCGCCGAACUUAA
rnacentral:rRNA from 1 species